CCCUAUCCUUUCCUGAUAAAGUAACUUAACUGCCUUUUCACUUUUAUCAUCUGAAACCCUAGGAGGCAGCAGUGGUCUCUAGCCAGCAGGGAGAGGGAGAAGAUCAUGUAUCAUCAAAAAGGCUGCCAGUUUCUGUCUUUUCGGCUAAACUUUGAAAUUGUUUUGAUUCUUGUUGGAGAGAGAGAGAGAGAGAGAGAGAGAGGGGUAUGCUGGUGUUGUUGACAGAAGAUAGAGAGCACAGAUGAUGAGGAUGUGCCAUUGGAGAGUGUUUCUGCAUCUCACUCCUUUGUGCUCUUUAUGCUUCUGUCAUACCACCCUCUUCAGCCCCUCUAUUUCUCAGCUCAUUAAUAUUAUUUCCUCCAUGUAGUUUUGCUUUGUAUAUGUCCUUCUGAUUUCAAAAUGAGAUGUUUUGAAAUGGGUCUUCUUUUUUAUUAUUUUUCUUGUUUUGUUUAGUGAAAUCUAACUGAUUUGAGUUUUGUCCACCAUUGAACCUCUAGGCCUUUCUUGCGUGCUGAAACAUUAUUUUUCUUUGAACACGCUAAUUAUUCCUUACUCACUUGAGUUAUGUGUAGAGUAUUCCUUCUUCUUCAGUUCCCCUUUUGCAGUCUGCUACUGGAGAAGGAAGGAAGAGAGCAACUUAAGACAGUUUUCUGUUUUGAUCCUAAUUGCAAGUGAACUGGCAUCUGAUGUGUAUCCCAAACAUUUGGGAUCCAGACUAACAGCUUUGGCGCGGAGCACACAACGAAGAAGAGGGAGGCCAUGUACAUAAGUAUUCCUACGUCCGAUCAGAAUGAUCAGCAUGCAUGCAAAUCUUGGGCUAGUGCUUCGCUUGGGGGUGUCAGAAGCGCGCUUGGAAUGGAGAUUACUUGAGGAAGCUCAAGAUCAAAGGUCAAGAAAGAUGUCUUAGAAUCCAUGUUCACUCAGCUUAGGGUCAUCUUUACCAUUUUGCACUGUGAAACCACUUACCAUCACCUCGGAAUCCCCGAGCUGAUGAUUGGUGUUGCAUUUCAAGAUCUCUCAUCUGCAUUUGACGUGUGCUAGGUUUGCUAGGGAACACGAUUUCUCGUAGUGUCUACAUCCGUACAGAGAUUGACUGAUACACUCUAGGUCUGUCAGAAAGGAAAUUGCCUAUAGGCAUAGGCCUUCCAUUUUCGUCGAAGAGGUUCGUCAAGACAUGAAGUGCUAUGACUUUAGAGAAUUGGACCAUGCUCUACGAAGAUCGAAGAGAUUGCUUUUGAGGCUCUGCUCUGUUUGACAUUGCUUUCUUUCUUGUGGAAUCCCAACCAC